rnacentral:lncRNA from 1 species
AUGAGAGGAACAAAACAGGAUUUGUCUUUUAUGGAUAGAAAUUAUAAUGAACACAACAAUGAUAGAGACAUAACUAAAAGUAAUGAAAACGAAACCGUUGGUAAAAACGAAACAUUUGGUAAAAAGGAAACAUUUGGUAAAAAGGAAACAGUUGGUAAAAAGGAAACAUUUGGUAAAAAGGAAACAUUUGGUAAAAAGGAAACUGUUGGUAAUGAUAAUAUAACUAAUAAUUUAAAUGAAUUAAAAAAUAGAAAAUUUAGUCCCCAGUUAGAACAAAAUAAAAAUUUAAAAAAUAAAUCAUUUUUUAAUGAUAAAACAAAAAGUAAAGAAGAAAUAACAAAUUUGUUGUAUUUAUUUUUAAGUUUAUGUUUAAAUAUAGAAAAAUAUAGUAAUCAUUUGUAUGCUGAAUCAAUAAAUACAUUUGUAUAUAGUACAUUUAGUAGAUUUAAAAUAUUUAAUGUUAAUAACAUAAAAAAUGAAAAGAAUCAAGGUAUGAGUGGUGUAAUUAAUAAUUUAUCUAUGACAAUAGGUACAUUAUUUUAUUGUUAUACAAAAUAUAAAAAUAAUUAUUGUAAUGAAGGGAAUAAUGGAAAUGGUAACGGACAUAAUCAAGGUUAUGAUGACAACUACAUAAAUAAUAGUAGUAAUAAAAAUAAAGAUGGUAAAUUAACUUUAUCUAAUUUUGAAACACAUUUGUAUUCUUGUGAUUGCAAUGUUCAUAAAACUUAUCAAUUUUUGUUUCAUUAUUCUAAUAGUAAAAAAAAUGAAAGUCACAAUAUUAUUUUUAUGUCGAUAGAAGGAAUCAUAGUUGGGUUUUUUACAUUAUUAGAUGAUAUAAAACCAGAAGUUUUUGAUUUAAUUAAGUUUUUAAAAAAACAAAAAAAAAAAAAAGUUUAUGUAUGUACAGGAGAUAAUUAUAAUAAUGCUAUGUACAUAGCAAACGCUUUAGGUAUAUCGAAAAAAAAUGUUUUCUCCAAUUCAGUGCCCUUAGAGAAGGUUCACUUGAUAAAAAAAUACAGUCUCUAA